ensembl:piRNA 21ur-13780 ncRNA
UUUUUCUUCAGGUUCAUAAGA